UACAGAGGGUGCAAGCGUUGUUCGGAAUUAUUGGGCGUAAAGGGCGCGUAGGCGGUGCUGUAAGUCUGUAGUGAAAUCUCUGGGCUCAACUCAGAGUCUGCUAUAGAAACUGCAGUGCUGGAGUGUGGGAGAGGUGAGUGGAAUUCCCGGUGUAGCGGUGAGAUGCGUAGAUAUCGGGAGGAACACCUGUGGCGAAAGCGGCUCACUGGACCACAACUGACGCUGAGGCGCGAAAGCCAGGGGAGCAAACGGG
rnacentral:rRNA from 1 species